AUGUCACAAAGCAAUGAAAAACAGAGACCAAGUAUAAAGGGGCUGUCAAGUGAUACAUACGCUCUUCUGCCGUCGUCGUUGUCACCAUCCUCGGCGCGACUCGCUUCAUUCGGUUCUACCUGGGAGAGUCCACCGCCAUCCGCCACCAUUGUGAACUUCACGGUAGAACAGAUCCACGCCAUCAUGGACAAGAAGGCCAAUAUCUGCAACAUGUCUGUCAUCGCCCACGUGGACCACGGCAAGUCCACACUGACAGACUCCCUGGUGUGCAAGGCAGGCAUCAUCGCCUUGGCCUGGGCCAGGGAGACACGCUUCACUGACACCCGGAAGGAUGAGCAGGAGCGUUGCAUCACCAUCAAGUCAACUGCCAUCUCUCUCUUCUACGAGCUCUCGGAGAAUGACUUGAACUUCAUCAAGCAGAGCAAGGACGGCGCCGGCUUUCUCAUUAACCUCAUCGACUCCCCGGGGCACGUCGAAUUCUCCUCGGAGGUGACCGCUGCCCUCCGAGUCACUGAUGGUGCAUUGGUUGUGGUGGACUGCGUGUCAGGCGUGUGUGUGCAGACGGAGACAGUGCUGCGGCAGGCCAUUGCGGAGCGCAUCAAGCCUGAGCUGAUGAUGAACAAAGUGGACCGUGCCCUGCUGGAGCUGCAGCUGGAGCCGGAGGAGCUCUACCAGACCUUCCAGCGCAUUGUGGAGAACGUGAACGUCAUCAUCUCCACCUACGGCGAGGGCGAGAGCGGCUCCAUGGGCAACAUCAUGAUUGAUCCUGUCCUCGGUACCGUGGGCUUCGGGUCUGGCCUCCAUGGGUGGGCCUUCACCCUGAAGCAGUUUGCGGAGAUGUACGUGGCCAAGUUUGCUGCCAAAGGGGAGGGCCAGUUGGGGCCUGCCGAGUGGGCCAAGAAAGUGGAGGACAUGAUGAAGAAGCUGUGGGGUGACAGGUACUUUGACCCAGCCAAUGGCAAGUUCAGCAAGUCAGCCACCAGCCCCGAUGGGAAGAAGCUGCCACGCACCUUCUGCCAGUUGAUCUUGGACCCCAUCUUCAAGGUGUUUGAUGCCAUCAUGAAUUUCAAGAAAGAGGAGACAGCAAAACUGAUAGAGAAACUGGACAUCAAACUGGACAGUGAGGACAAGGACAAAGAAGGCAAACCCCUGCUGAAGGCUGUGAUGCGCCGCUGACUGCCCGCCGGAGACGCCUUGUUGCAGAUGAUCACCAUCCAUCUGCCCUCUCCUGUGACGGCCCAGAAGUACCGCUGAGAGCUCCUGUAUGAGGGGCCCCCGGACGACGAGGCUGCCAUGGGCAUUAAAAGCUGUGACCCCAAAGGCCCCCUUAUGAUGUAUAUUUCCAAAAUGGUGCCAACCUCCGACAAAGGUCGGUUCUACGCCUUUGGACGAGUCUUCUCAGGGCUGGUCUCUACCGGCCUGAAGGUCAGGAUUAUGGAAGACCUUCAGGAAGGUCUACACCCCCAGGGAGAAGGAGUACCUCUACCUGAAGCCAAUCCAGAGAACAAUCUUGAUGAUGGGCCGCUAUGUGGAGCCAAUCCAGGACGUGGCUUGUGGGAACAUUGUGGGCCUGGUGGGAGUGGACCAGUUCCUGGCGAAGAUGGGCACCAUCACCACCUUCAAGCACGCACACAACAUGCGGGUGAUGAAGUUCAGGGUCAGCCCUGUCAUCAGAGUGGCCGUGGAGACCAAGAACCCGGCUGACCUACCCAAGCUGGUGGAGGGGCUGAAGCGGCUGGCCAAGUCCGACCCCAUGGUGCAGUGCAUCAUUGAGGAGUCAGGAGAGCACAUCAUCGCGGAGAAGUUGAAGAUGGCAUUGAGGGAAAGCCAGCUCCCAGCAGGAUCUGAGGUGUUUGCUGAGAAACAGCCAUCCUCAAAGUAA